CGCCGGGGCCCUUCAGGUGCGUGCUGGUAACCGGCGCUGCUGUGAGAGGCGCCGUGGCUGGUGUUGUGUGCAGGCUCCUGUGUGGUGGCGGCUGCCGUCAAUGCCCGCCCUCCGGUCCCACCCCGGCGGUGCUGCUCUGGGGAGGUGUCUGGUUCCAAGAGGUGUGUAUCCAAGUUGGGUAGCCGGCAUGGCUUGUGUGCAGGAGUAUGCUGCCUGUCCAGUCCUUAUGGUCUCUGUUGAGCCCUUACUGUCUCCUGGCAUCCUCUGGAUUGGUGAUGACAGACUACUUUCUGGGCAGGUCUUUUAUGAUCAGGAGUUAGAAUAAUGUAAUCUGUUGCUUCCCUCCAAUUCUUGACUGCUUCAGCCUCUAUUAAUCUUGGGCAGGGUAGCUCCCUGUUUGCUUUGUUUCCCCGUUUUGGUUAUCUCCAUGCUAUGUUCUGCCCUCCUGUUGUGACAGCAGGGACAGGGAUGGUGUUUACAGUAUGCGCUGACCUCAUUGCCAUCCUCCUGUUCCCAGAGCACAGGCCUUCUGACAAAUCAUCUGUGAGAGCGCCUUAUCACCUUAUCAGAGCGCAGGCCGUCUGCUCUCAGUUUACGCAGCCCAUCCUCAGUGUUUACCAGCUUUGCUGCUCUCAGUUGUGCGCUUGGUCAUUCUUUUAACCCUUGCCUUGCUGCUUUUCUGUUGCUUUCACAUAUACUCUGCUGUUCAGAAUUCACCCCAGUCUUAGUUGUUCUGUUGCAGUCUCUACAUCUGCGGAGCUAGCUCUACAGAGGCGGUAUAUUCCAACUCGCUGCAAAAUAUUUUCGGUUCUUCAGGAGGCACCUCGCGCAGUGGUCGCAAGGGAUGCGACCUGAACGACA